rnacentral:rRNA from 1 species
AUGAUGGUUAUUGCAGUUGGACAGUUUCUCUUGGCACUUGUGGCUUGCAGUACCCAUGUCGUCGUCUGCUCCUCACAUGGAAAUGCGACAGAUCGGUUAUCACUGCUUGAAUUCAAGGAGGCAAUCAGUCUUGAUCCCCAGCAAGCUCUGAUGUCCUGGAAUGACAGCACUGACUUCUGUAACUGGGAAGGUGUCUCGUGUAGGCCUAAGAAUCGACAUCGCGUCACUUCCCUUGACCUCAGCGGUCGAGGCUUACAAGGGUGCAUCUCUCUUUCACUUGGAGAUCUUACAUUUCUAAGAAAUCUAUCCCUACCAGGCAAUCUGUUCAUUGGACAAAUCCCUGCGUCCCUUGGUCACCUGCAGCACCUCCAAAAUCUCUACUUGAGUAAUAACACACUCGAGGGUGAGAUACCAGACUUCGCAAAUUGUUCUAGUCUGCAGAUGCUAUGGCUGGAUCGCAAUCACCUAGUUGGACAAAUCCCUACACAUGCCAAUUUUGCUCCUCACCUUCAAAGCCUGCUGAUUUCAUAUAACAAUCUUACCAGCAAAAUUCCCGUUUCACUUUUUAACGUCACAACACUGACUCGACUUGAUAUCUCAUCAAAUCGGAUCAGUGGCGAGAUCCCAAGUGAAAUCGGAAAUAUGCCCAUGCUGCAAUUCUUUUUCACCUGGGGAAAUAAGCUAUCAGGAAGGUUCCAACCAGCCAUCCUCAAUGUGUCUUCUCUUGUUGUACUAAGCCUUGCCUCCAACUAUCUAAGUGGCCAACUGCCAUCCAACCUUGGUAGUUCAUCACCCAAUCUUCAAAAGUUUGGUUUAUUUAACAACUUGUUCGAUGGGCCUAUCCCAAAUUCGCUGGUGAAUGCUUCUAAGCUAUCCUUGGUUGAUUUGUCGAGUAAUAAUUUCACUGGGGUGGUGCCUAGUUCUAUUGGCAAACUUAAAGAGCUCUCCUGGUUGAAUCUUGAAUACAAUCAAUUACAAGCACGUGACAAGCAAGACUGGGAGUUUAUGAAUAGUCUAAGCAAUUGCACUGAGCUACAGAAAUUGUCGCUGCGUGGGAAUCGUCUUGAAGGACGGUUAUCAGAUUCAUUUGCCAACCUUUCUGCCAAACUUGAAAUGUUCUUCUUCGGAAGAAACAGACUAUCAGGGGGUUUUCCUGCCGGUAUAGCUAACCUUCACAGCCUGAAGUUUUUGGCAUUGGAUGAAAACCAGUUUACCGGUGUCAUUCCGGAAUGGCUAGGGACUCUGGAGAACUUGCGGGGUAUCGUAUUAAGGAACAAUGCUUUUACAGGAUAUAUUCCAUCUUCCCUCUCUAAUUUAUCUCUACUGGGGCAACUCUUUUUGGAUUCUAACCAGUUGUAUGGGCAUAUACCCCCGAGCUUGGGAAACCUCAAAACCCUUGAAUCAUUGGAACUUUCCAAUAACAUUCUUGAUGGUAGCAUUCCAAAGGAGAUAUUCAGCAUUCCUACAAUUAGAGAAAUUGCGCUAUCUUCAAAUAGCCUAGGUGGACCACUUCCUACUGAAGUAGGCCGUGCCAAGAAACUACAGUACUUGUAUCUUUCAUCUAAUAACCUGUCCAGUGCCAUCCCUGACACACUGGGUAACUGUCACAGUAUGGAAUACAUUGAGUUGGAUCAGAAUUUUCUUAGUGGAAGCAUUCCAGUGUCACUGGGCAGCAUCAGAAACUUGCAAGUACUCAAUGUAUCUCAUAACCACUUAUCAGGAUCCAUACCAAAGUCUAUUGGCAGCCUGAUGUAUCUUGAACAACUAGAUUUGUCAUUCAACCAUCUUGAAGGUGAAGUCCCAGAAACAGGUAUAUUCAAGAAUGUGACCGCUUUAUGGGUGGAUGGGAACAAGGGGCUUUGCGGUGGUGCAGCGAAGCUACACCUACCGGCCUGCCCUGCUAUUCCUUCAAAUUCAACUAAGCACGUGAGAUCAACAGUGCUCAAAGUAGUAAUCCCGUUAGUCAGCAUGGUAUCACUUGCUGUGGUCAUAUCUGUCUUGCUAUUCUGGAGGAGAAAACGGAAGAAGGUUUACAUGUCUCUUCCUUCUUUUGGUCGAAAGUUUCCCAGGGUUUCUUGCCACGAUCUUGAUAGAGCAACUGAUGGAUUCUCCACAUCCAACUUGAUUGGCAGAGGAGGAUACAGUUCUGUGUACAAAGGUAGACUGUUGCAAGAUGGAACUACUGUUGCUGUGAAAGUUUUCACCCUAGAGACAAGAGGAGCACAAAAGAGCUUCAUUGUGGAAUGCAAUGCUUUGAGAAAUGCGCGGCACCGGAAUCUAGUUCCUAUCCUAACUGCUUGCUCGAGUAUCGAUUCUAAAGGGAAUGAUUUCAAAGCCCUAGUAUAUGAAUUCAUGCCAAAGGGUGACUUGCAAGCACUACUGUACUCAGCUUUGGGAGAUGAAAACACUUCAAAUUCAGAGCGCAUUACACUAGCACAAAGGUUGAGCAUUGUGGUGGAUGUAGCAGAUGCACUGGAGUACCUCCACCAUGACAACCAAGGAGCUAUUGUUCAUUGUGAUUUGAAGCCUAGCAACAUUCUUUUGGAUGAUAAUAUGACAGCUCAUGUUGGAGAUUUUGGCCUUGCGAGAUUCAAAGCUGGUCCGACACAGUCAUAUUUCAGUGACUCGAACUCUGCUUCUUCGACUAUAAUAAAAGGAACGAUCGGAUAUGUCGCUCCAGUGGGCAACUGGUGGUGA